rnacentral:rRNA from 1 species
GGCGAACGCUGGCGGCAGGCCUAACACAUGCGAGUCGAACGAACUCUUCGGAGUUAGUGGCGGACGGGUGAGUAACACGUGGGAACGUGCCUUUUGGUUCGGAAUAACUCAGGGAAACUUGUGCUAAUACCGAAUGUGCCCUUCGGGGGAAAGAUUUAUCGCCAUUAGAGCGGCCCGCGUCUGAUUAGCUAGUUGGUGAGGUAACGGCUCACCAAGGCGACGAUCAGUAGCUGGUCUGAGAGGAUGACCAGCCACACUGGGACUGAGACACGGCCCAGACUCCUACGGGAGGCAGCAGUGGGGAAUCUUGCGCAAUGGGCGAAAGCCUGACGCAGCCAUGCCGCGUGAAUGAUGAAGGUCUUAGGAUUGUAAAAUUCUUUCACCGGGGACGAUAAUGACGGUACCCGGAGAAGAAGCCCCGGCUAACUUCGUG